GACGAACGCUGGUGGCGUGCUUAACACAUGCAAGUCGAACGGGUCUGCCCUGUUUUUUGCGGGGUGGGUCAGUGGCGAACGGGUGAGUAACACGUGAGUAACCUGCCCCUCACUUCUGGAUAACCGCUUGAAAGGGUGGCUAAUACGGGGUGUUCUGGCUGUGCCGCAUGGUGUGGCUGGGAAAGAUUCACUUUUGUGGUGUUUUGGUGGGGGAUGGGCUCGCGGCCUAUCAGCUUGUUGGUGGGGUGAUGGCCUGCCAAGGCUUUGACGGGUAGCCGGCAUGAGGGGGUGGGCGGUCACACUGGGACUGAGAUACGGCCCAGACUCCUGCGGGAGGCAGCAGUGGGGGGUAUUGCACAAUGGGCGGAAGCCUGAUGCAGCGACGUCGCGUGAGGGAUGGAGGCCUUCGGGUUGUGAACCUCUUUCGCCGGUGAAGAAGGUCCUGCUCUUUGUGGUGGGGUUGACGGUAGCCGGGUUAUGAAGCGCCGGCUAACUACGUG
rnacentral:rRNA from 1 species